rnacentral:rRNA from 1 species
CCUACGGGAGGCUGCAGUGGGGAAUAUUGCACAAUGGGCGCGAGCCUGAUGCAGCCAUGCCGCGUGUGUGAAGAAGGCCUUCGGGUUGUAAAGCACUUUCAGCGGGGAGGAAGGCGGUGAGGUUAAUGACCUCAUCGAUUGACGUUACCCGCAGAAGAAGCACCGGCUAACUCCGUGCCAGCAGCCGCGGUAAUACGGAGGGUGCAAGCGUUAAUCGGAAUUACUGGGCGUAAAGCGCACGCAGGCGGUCUGUCAAGUCGGAUGUGAAAUCCCCGGGCUCAACCUGGGAACUGCAUUCGAAACUGGCAGGCUAGAGGCUUGUAGAGGGGGGUAGAAUUCCAGGUGUAGCGGUGAAAUGCGUAGAGAUCUGGAGGAAUACCGGUGGCGAAGGCGGCCCCCUGGACAAAGACUGACGCUCAGGUGCGAAAGCGUGGGGAGCAAACAGGAUUAGAUACCCGUGUAGUC